rnacentral:rRNA from 1 species
AGCUCUUCCUUAGCCUCACAAUUAGUACAAACAAACCCUUAGGCUUAAGAGCUAUUCAAAUAAGGCACAGCUUAUUUGAAACAGGACACAACCUAUAACAUAGGGUAAACAAAAGUGAUUAAAAUAAAGUGGGCCUAAAAGCAGCCAUCUUUAAAAAAGCGUUAAAGCUUAACUAUUUUCCACUUAUAAUACCUAAACUUCCCACUAACCCCUCACCACUAUUGAACGAUUUUAUAUCUUUAUAAAAGCUAUCAUGCUAGAACUAGUAACAAGAAAUUGCCUUUCUCCUAAAUGUAAAUAUAAACCAAAAUAGACUAUCUAUUGGUUAUUAACGUAAAUGCUAAAUUAUAGUAACACUCACUAGAAAAUCCUAUAACCCCCAACGUUAACCUUACACUAGAACAUUACAGGAAAGAUUAAAAGAAAAAGAAGGAACUCGGCAAAUUUUAGCCUCGCCUGUUUACCAAAAACAUCGCCUCUUGAUAAAACAUAAGAGGUCCAGCCUGCCCAGUGACAAAGUUUAACGGCCGCGGUACCCUAACCGUGCGAAGGUAGCAUAAUCACUUGUUCUUUAAAUGAGGACUCGUAUCAACGGCACUACGAGGGCUAUACUGUCUCCUUUUUCCAAUCAGUGAAACUGAUCUCCCCGUGAAGAAGCGGGGAUGAAAAUAUAAGACGAGAAGACCCCAUGGAGCUUUAAACUCACCAUGCACCUCUAUGCCCUUAUAUCACUAAACAUAAGACACCUGCAUGAUAGUUUUAGGUUGGGGGGACCACGGAGUAUAAUAUAACCUCCACAACAAAUGGGCUAACACCCUUAUCCACGAGACACAACUCUAAGAAUUAUUAAACUAAUGCUUAUGACCCGAUAAUCGAUCAAUGAACCAAGUUACCCUGGGGAUAACAGCGCAAUCUACUUCAAGAGCCCAUAUCGACAAGUAGGUUUACGACCUCGAUGUUGGAUCAGGGUAUCCCGGUGGUGCAGCCGCUACUAAUGGUUCGUUUGUUCAACGAUUAAAACCCUACGUGAUCUG